rnacentral:rRNA from 1 species
AUUGAACGCUGGCGGCAUGCCUUACACAUGCAAGUCGAACGGCAGCACGGACUUCGGUCUGGUGGCGAGUGGCGAACGGGUGAGUAAUGCAUCGGAACGUGCCAUUGAGUGGGGGAUAACGUAGCGAAAGUUGCGCUAAUACCGCAUAUUCUGUGAGCAGGAAAGCAGGGGACCGCAAGGCCUUGCGCUCUUUGAGCGGCCGAUGUCAGAUUAGCUAGUUGGUGAGGUAAAGGCUUACCAAGGCGACGAUCUGUAGCGGGUCUGAGAGGAUGAUCCGCCACACUGGAACUGAGACACGGUCCAGACUCCUACGGGAGGCAGCAGUGGGGAAUUUUGGACAAUGGGGGCAACCCUGAUCCAGCCAUGCCGCGUGAGUGAAGAAGGCCUCGGGUUGUAAAGCGUCUUUCGGUCCGGGAAGAAAUACGCAUGGGCCAAGUACCCUACGUGUGG